AUUCUCUUGAACCAAUGAGCGUGAUGAUUGGGUGUUCACGCGGCUGCGUGACAUGUGCCGCCCUCAAACCUUGUUACGCAUCAGCACUUUACCCUUGUGACG